CUCUGUUUUAAUAAAUAUGACAGUGAUGAAAGUACUGCAAAUGUUAUUUUCAAACCACAUCUAUCAUACUCAUUGAAUUUUUACCGAGAUUGGUGAGGGGAGGUGCUUAUAAUAUCAGGAAAAACCCUGCAAAUCAACACUGAUUGACAAUUCAGGAGAUGACAGAUUGGAUUGACAGUUCGGGAGAUGACAGAUUGGGUUGACAGUUU